UCUUUCUUUCUUUCUUUCUUUCUUUCUUUCUUUCUUUCUUUCUUUCUUUCUUUCCCAUUUCCCUAGUCUUCAUCUCUUCACUCUCAUUCCCCUUCUGAUCAGCCAGACUUCAGGCUGUGUGUGGCUCAUUGCUGUUGGUGCAGGUCAUUAUUGUGAGCAUGCUCUAUUAGUCUAUUCUAUUAUUUCACAGGGCCUCUACAUGUACUAGGCACACGCGGCUCUGCUAUGUGUCCCUUCUUCGUGAGGCCCAAAGGAUUAGGGUGUCAUCCCGGAAUCAGAAGUAGCAAUAAGGAAUUCAUCCCACGUGUAGCUGGAACCCAAGUGGUUUUGAAUUCGGCAUCAUGACUUUCAACCAAGUGAACAAUGAGAGGAGCUUGUUUUGGAAAUCAAAGUACCUACCGUGCUGUCCAGCCCCAGAGUAAUCAUCAUGAGGAAGAAUAUGAUGGCAAAGAAGGUCGAGCCCACCAUAUUUGCGAUGGCCUCAGGCCAUGUAGCCCAGCACUGUGAAAAUGACGAACCCCGACAGGAAGCUGGUCAGACAGUUCACCGCGCUGGUGACUAUGGCGUCUCUGGAAGGCAGAACGGGAGCGGGUGACUAGAAGGACAAGGCUGAAGUAAACAAUCGUGAAGAUGAGAAAAAAGGCAGAGGAGAAGCUGCCAGCGGAUCCCGCCGACGUCAUACAGGCCACUGGAUUUCUGAAUCUCAAGGACCUUCCUCCUGUGGCAAAAAACCCCCCCCGGCGGCUUAGUCACUAAGGCUUGGUCUACACUACCCCCCUAAUUCGAACUAAGGUACGCAACUUCAGCUACGUGAAUAACGUAGC